GCCGGGUUGGCCGAACGGUUUCAGGCGGCGGGCUGCAAACCCGCAGUAUGUGGGUUCAAUUCCCACACCCGGCU
rnacentral:tRNA from 1 species